AGGGGAGCAGCCCAGCAUCUGUGAACACCUCUGUUACCUGUGUCGAGCAUGGAACAGGUAACCUUCUGUAGGCAUCAUUUUGAUUUCUUGGUACUAUUGUUAAAGGUGCUUUUGUCUCAAGUUCCUCCCUUUAGUAGUAAUUAUAAUGGUAAUGGAAAUUUUUAUCUUUUACCAUCCAUGGGCCUGGAUCCUGAGCUCCCAGGGAAGCUAUCCUUUAACAUUUUACCAAGCUCAAAAUGACUGGGCAAAACCUCAGAGCAUGGACCCUCUUUCUGCCCCAGGCACAUAUUGUAGAUCUGCUUCAAGAAGAAAAAGAUAACCCAACGAUGCCAUUGCAAACAUAAAGUUAAGAAAAACAAAACAACCUCUCUGGCUCCCAUAAGAUUAAAGUCAUACCGAUUUGCACAUACUGAAAACAUAAGAAAAAGUCUGUAACUCUCUGGAAUGUUCUUCCUUAUGGUGAUGUGUAACUCUGUAUGUAAAACAAGACAACAAAUAUAUAAACCUGCCCCAAAUGUUCCUUCCCCGGAGCACUCCCUUCUUUGUGAAGAUUGUCUCCCAGGCUGCUGUCCUGACUUGGGUUUGAAUAAAACUCUCUUCCUUUCUCUCUAAACUGUUUAAAAGGGUUUGUUCAUUCAGUGUCGACAAUAACAAUAUGUUUUCUUUUUAAGUGAAAAAUAAAUGUUCCUGGUUCCCAACUCCAACGGCACAGAAGGGCGGCUCGUCCUCAUCCUGGAGGCUUCCCUGCAGAACCAAGCAUACAUAUAUAUAUUCCAUCAUGAACGGGCUCAUCCUACAAGGAUGCUUUGAAGGUCCAAGAAGCACUAUCCACUCCCUGGUCUCUUCUGCCUGAUGUCCAUCAACUGGCUGUAUCCCCCAGAACAACCUCUUCUGCCUGAUGUCCAUCAACUGGCUGUAUCCUCCAGGGCACCUGCUCACCCCAGAAGUCAAUGGAUGACAUGGAGAGGUGGCUGGUGGACACACCCUCCAUCUCCUGGACAGAGGGGUUGACCCCACAGGGGUCCCUAGGAGCAGGUGCUGGGGAUUGCCAAAGAAGGCCUCCGACACCACCCAGACCACUGUCCCAGGUGGUUGUCCACCGGACAGUGGUCCAGGAGCUGGAGCCCACAGAGGCCGAGCCCGAGGCUGCUCCACCACCUGAGGAGCUAGAGCCGGCUCCAACUCCAUCAACUCUGGAGGGAAGAGGGAGUGACUGCAGCGACUUCAGGAGGAGACCAGGAGCCGGCAGGUGACCCGGCACCCGCCCACGGAGAGCCUGACGCAAACCAGGAAGAACAGGCACCUGCUCCUGCCCCAGCCCCUGCCCCUGCUACAGUUCCUGCCGCUCCCCUGCCCCUGUCCAUACUCCUGCUAGAGCCGCUGCCCCUUCCCCCGCCCCUGCCCGUGCUCCCCUUCCUGCCCCUGACCCAGGUCUUGCCCUGGAUCCUGCACCUGCCACUACUGCUGAUCCUGUCCCUCCCCUUGCCCCUGGCCCUGCUCUUACAUCUGUCCCUGCCCCUGUCCCUGCCCCUGUCCUAACCCCUGCCCCUACUCCUGCUCCUGCAAGGAUCCCACAACCACAUCCAGAGCCCACAGCCCUGCAGGGAGAGCUCCUUGUACAAUUACCCUUAGUUCCAUCACCGGACCCCGACGCCCCGCCAGAUUGUUUCGUCCCCUCCCCCUAUGUUCUUUCUCUCUGGUUCAUAUUAACUGUUAUCUUUUCAUGUUCUGUAUACUGUUUAUUAUUUGUUUUAAAUAAAAUUACUUGUUUUCAAUUGAACACGUCAUGAGCAUUAAGUACACUCCCAACGCUGUGCCACCACACCCCAGAACAUUGCUGCAGAAUAUCUCCUUCCCCAAAGGAGUCCCCGAACCAGAAGCCCUCCCUGCCCAUUUC
ensembl:lncRNA